rnacentral:rRNA from 1 species
UACAGAGGUCUCAAGCGUUGUUCGGAUUCAUUGGGCGUAAAGGGUGCGUAGGUGGCGUGGUAAGUCGGGCGUGAAAUUUCGGAGCUUAACUCCGAAACUGCAUUCGAUACUGGCGUGCUUGAGGACUGGAGAGGAGACUGGAAUUCAUGGUGUAGCAGUGAAAUGCGUAGAGAUCGGGAGGAACACCAGUGGCGAAGGCGGCUACCUGGACCAGCACUGACGCUGAGGCGCGAAAG